GGGACCACCAAGGUCUAUAUAAGAGCAUCCAAAAGCAGCAUUGCAUAGGACCUUUAACCAGGGAUGCACCAAAUCCAGGAUUAAGGUUCAGCCAAAUAUUGGGCUUUUUGAUGGGGUUUGGUUUCUGCAGAAUCUUAGAAUUUUUUUCCACCAAACCGAACCCUGCCCUUGGACUAGGCGCGAUAAGCUGGUCAACGUAAUGUCGCCGCCGUUGAUUGGUGGACCGUUCAAUGCAGCAGGUUGUGAG